UUGAGCGAUGCGAGCACGAGCGAGGGAGCUGAACACGGCGGGACUAAAGUUGGGGAAAGCGGAACUAUAAUUCAAAUCCUCCGCGAUAUCGCGAGUGACCAAUCAAAGCUCACCAUAACUUCCAAUCCCUACUGGACUGGCUGACAAUGGCUGUUGAUUUGUGUCACUAUUUAGCUUGCUUAGUACCCACAUGAGGGUGAGGCUAGCAUGGCUAGGCGAGUGCUGCUUGUAUAGUGUAAAUGCUAUGUAAUCCUCUAAACACAAACUGCCUUCAGGGACUAACGAUAAGGAAAGCUAAUCGCUAAACUUUCAACAGGCUGUGAAGUAUUGUAGCCUAGUUAAUUGAGCCCUAUACGGACAUCCUGUUUUGAAACCUGCAAAGAGGCUGUCCGGGUGGCUGGUCUCAGACGAUCCCACAGAUGAAGAAGCCGUAUGUGCAGGUCCUGGGAUGGCAUGGCUACACGUGGUCUGCGGUUGUGAGGCCAGUUGGACCUACUGUCAAAUUCUCUAAAACGACGUUGGAGGAAUGAACAUUCAAUUCUAUGGAAACAACUCUGACGGACAUUCCUGCAGUCAGCAUGCCAUUUACAUGCUCGCUCAAAACUUCAAAUCAAAUGUUAUUUUAAGACAUCUGUGGCAUUGUGCCAAAACUGUACAUUUUAUUUUAUUUUUUACAUUUAUUUAUCCGUUAUUUUACCAGGUAAGUUAACUGAGAACACGUUCUCAUUUACAGCAACGACUUGGGGAAUAGUUACAGGGGAGAGGAAGGGGAUGAAUGAGCAAAUUGUAAACUGGGGAUUAUUAGGUGACCGUGAUGGUUUGAGGGCCAGAUUGGGAAUAUAGCCAGGACCGCGGGGUUAACACCCCUACUCUUACGAUAAAUGCCAUGGGAUCUUUAAUGAACUCAGAGUCAGGACACCCGUUUAACGUCCCACCCGAAAGACUGCACCCUACACAGUGCAGUGUCCCCAAUCACUGCCCUGGGGCAUUUGAAUAUUUUUUAGACCGGAGGAAAGAGUGCUUCCUACUGACCCUCCAACACCACUUCCAGCAACACCUGGUCUCCCAUCCAGGGACUGACCAGGACCAACCCUGCUUGGUAUGCUGCUGGCUAGUGGCAUUUUAUUGUCCCCAGCACAAGGUGCACCUGUGCAAUGAUCAUGUGGUUUAAUCAGCUUCUUGAUAUGCAAUACCGGUCAGGUGGAUGGAUUAUCUUGGCAAAGGAUAACAUGCUCACUAACAGUGAUGUAAACAAAUUUGUGCACAAAAUUUGAGAAUUCAGAUUUUUGUGUGUAUGGAAUAUUACUGGGAUCUUUUAUUUCAGCUCAUGAAACAUGGGACCAACAUUUUUCAUGUUACAUUGAUAUUCAGUUCAAUAUAUUUACUGAUAAAUUACAUGGUAAUAUUGUAUACAGCAACAACCUAUUAACUGCUUGUUUGUUUGAGGUUCAUUACCAAAAACAAGUAGGCAUCGUUUGAUACUAGAGGUAACAAUGUUGUUCCCAAUUGUGUUGAUUUCCAAAGAAAUUAUCAGAAGGUGCCCGUUGUUAUCAUGCAAAUUCUUAGCAAAUACCCUGUAUAUACAGCCAAGGUACUCAUUGUGUAUUUAUAUCUCAUGGUAUUACCUUUUUAUUUAUUUCUGCAUUGCUGGGAAGAGCCCAUAAGGAAGCUCUUAGUCUACACCUGUGGUUUACAAAGAAUGUGACAAAUACAAUGAGAGUUUUACCACAACCUUGUCAACACUUUUCUCAUCACUUUUUUCAGCAAUGAAUGCAAAACUAAAGUCCCAGACAAAUAUCAAUACAAAUUUCAUCAAUAAGUGUAAUGUCAUUUUAUUGACAGUUUCAUCAUCACAUAGGACAUCACAACACACACAGCUGGAGAAGACACCCCCCAACAGACCUCAUAGGCUGUCCCCCAGCUUACUCUGCACCCGGCCGGGUCGCUCUACUUGCCUGGGUGGGGACUGAAGAUGGUCUUUGACCCUUUGAGGUUACAGGUAGAACUGUUUUUGGAUCCAUGUAGAACCCUUUCCACAGAGGGUUCGACAUAGAACCCAAAAGGGUUCUACCUGAAACCAAAAAGGGUUCUUUCUCCCUGGAACCAAAAUGGGUUCCUAACCCUUUUGGAACCCUUUUGUUCUAAGAGUGUAGGACAAUGGCUACUUGAAAUAGAUCAUUCAACUUUUAUCAAAUGUAUGCGUUCAUCAUUUGUUCUUUACAGCAGUCGCUUGCUCAGUCACCAGUGAGGAUCGCUAUUGCUCAAUCAGAAUAUAUUGAAUCAAUUUACACUGAGUGUACAAAACAUUAGGACAUGGACUGAUCAGGUGAAUCCAGGUGCAAGCCAUGAUCCCUCCUUGAUGUCACUCGUCAAAUACACUUCAGAUGAACGGGAGGAGACAGGGUAAAGAAGGACUUUUAAGCCUCAAGACAACGGAGACAUGGAUUGUGUAUAUCUUGCCAUUCAGAGGGUGAAUGCGCAUAAGAUUGAAGUGCCUUUGAACAGGGUAUGGUAGUAGGUGCCAGGCACACCGGUUUGAGUGUGUCAAGACCAGCAAUGCUGCUGGGGUUUUCACACCCAACAGUUUCCAAGUGUGUAUCAAGAAUGGUCCAGCACUCAAAAGGACAUCCAGCCAACUUGACAACUGUGGGAAAGCAUUGGGGUCAACAUGGGCCAGCAUUCGACACCUUGUAAAGUCCAUGCCGAAGAAUUGAGUCUGUUCUGAGGGCAAAAAGCGAAGCAACUCAAUAGUAGGAAGGUAUUCCUAAUGUUUUGUACCAUCAGUGUAUUCAAGAUGCAUUGGACAAAACCAGCUGAAAACAAGCACGUACGCGCACACACACUUGGGAACACAUCUUGGAACAGUCUUCAAUGUGAACCUCAGAUUAAAAUGAAUAAUUGUCUUUGAUCUAUAAUAACAAUUUUCAUAAUGUGGCAAGAUCGGACCUUA